rnacentral:rRNA from 1 species
UAGGGAAUAUUAGAAAUGGGCGAAAGCCUGAAGCAGCAACGCCGCGUGGACGAAGAAGGCCUUCGGGUUGUAAAGUUCUUUUAUAUGGGAUGAGGAAGGACAGUACCAUAUGAAUAAGUCUCGGCUAACUACGUGCCAGCAGCCGCGGUAAAACGUAGGAGACGAGCGUUAUCCGGAUUUACUGGGCGUAAAGAGCGUGUAGGAGGCAAUACAAGUUGGAUGUAAAAGCUCUCGGCUAAACUGAGAGAGGACGUUCAAGACUGUAGAGCUAGAGGAAGGCAGAGGUAGAUGGAACUCCGGGAGUAGUGGUGAAAUGCGUAGAUAUCCGGAAGAACACCAGAGGCGAAAGCGAUCUACUGGGCCUUAACAGACACUGAGACGCGAAAGCGUGGGGAGCGAACA